CCGGCGACGGGUGGAGUAACAACGUACUACCAACCUGCCGUCUACUCUUCGGCCACGUCCUUCUAGAAGAAGAUUAAUCCAGGAUGGCAUCAUGAGUUCACAUGUCCGCAUGAUUAAAGGUAUUUCCGGUAGACGAUGGGGAUGCGUUCCAUUAGAUAGUAGGCGGGGUAACGGCCCACCUAGUCAACGAUGGAUAGGGGUUCUGAGAGGAAGGUCCCCCACAUUGGAACUGAGACACGGUCCAA
rnacentral:rRNA from 1 species